rnacentral:rRNA from 1 species
GCAAGUCGAACGAGAACGGAUAUUAGCUUGCUAAUAUUGUCAGCUAAGUGGCGCACGGGUGAGUAAUAUAUAGGUAACGUGCCUUCAAGAAGGGGAUAACAAUUGGAAACGAUUGCUAAUACCCUAUAUGCCUUUAAGACUUAAGUCUGCAAGGGAAAUAUUUAUAGCUUUGGGAUGAGACUGUACGGUAUCAGUUAGUUGGUGAGGUAAUGGCUCACCAAGACAAUGACGCCUAACUGGUUUGAGAGGAUGAUC